AAAAAUAAAAUAAAAUAAAAUCCAUGUAAAUCAAGGGUCUGUUUUAUUUUUUUUUAACUGAUUCACACAUAGAAAUUGAAAUAAUUGUAGCCCAGAGAAUGUAUAAUUUUGAAAAUUACGAUCAAAAUUAGUUUUUUUACACCUAAAUUAAACAUUAGUUAGGAACAUAAUUAAUGCAAUUUUUUUUUCCGAAAUAAUUAAUGCAAUUUAGCUGUUUGUAAAUUUAACCAAACAAAUUGCAAUCCCAACUUCUAAAGCCCAAAUUCUAAAUCACAAAAAAACAGGGAUCAAAGAAUUAAUUAACAAACCUCGCGUUCGGCUCCAAGUGCCUAACAAGGCCAGGAACCUUGGGAAGGAGAACAGAGACGGGCUCCCCCAGAGGUCUACCUGGAUUUUUCAGAUUCUCUUCUUUACACAA
rnacentral:misc_RNA from 1 species